GCUCCCGUAGCUCAGCUGGAUAGAGCGCUGGGCCGCGAUACGGUUCACAGGUCACAGGUUCAAAUCCUGUCGGGGGCC
rnacentral:tRNA from 1 species